AUUGAACGCUGGCGGAAUGCUUUACACAUGCAAGUCGAACGGCAGCACGGGGCAACCUGGUGGCGAGUGGCGAACGGGUGAGUAAUACAUCGGAACGUGCCCAAUCGUGGGGGAUAACGUAGCGAAAGUUACGCUAAUACCGCAUACGAUCUACGGAUGAAAGCGGGGGAUCGCAAGACCUCGCGCGAAUGGAGCGGCCGAUGUCAGAUUAGGUAGUUGGUGGGGUAAAGGCUCACCAAGCCAAUGAUCUGUAGCUGGUCUGAGAGGACGACCAGCCACACUGGAACUGAGACACGGUCCAGACUCCUACGGGAGGCAGCAGUGGGGAAUUUUGGACAAUGGGCGCAAGCCUGAUCCAGCCAUGCCGCGUGAGUGAAGAAGGCCUCG
rnacentral:rRNA from 1 species